CUUUGAGGGUGUACCUACAGCCAUGCCUACUACUUAGAUUGAGUUGAGCGCCUCCUGCUCUGCGCUACGCGACCGCCAGACGGACACACAUUCUUCCAUUCAGUCAGUCAGUUGGCUUGUCUGACGCGAAAGUGCAAGUCGACUAUAGUCUCCCCUCUCUCGGGAUUUGUUUUGAGAGAAAGAGCGUUGUUUCUGUACAGCAAAAUAAAGCAUGUGUGUAUAUUGAUUAUUUUGAAUGCGCUUGGAGAAAGUUCAAUUAGACUAUUUUCUUGCAAAAACGCGGACACAAUGUGACAAUGUUGACCAGCAGACUGGGUUAUCCAUGACGGAUUGGUAAAGAGCUGUUCAUUAAUCAAGGAAAACGGGACGUAGAAAUGGGGAAACUUCAGUCCAAACAUGCGGGCAAACGUAGAGAGAACCCCGAAGGAGACAGUUUUGUUGUGAACGCUUUCCUCCGAAGAGCGAUGGGGGAAUGUGAGAUGUACAGCUCCUCAGAUCACAAACUGAACAACAUGCAGGUUGAGAAGUUUGCAUAUUACAUGGUCCAUGGAUGGUCUACAGUUGGGAUCAGUUGUGAUUAGAAGUUCCUCUAAUGCUGCCCCAAGAGGACAAAUCAAUGAACUCCUUCAUGAUUCAGAAAUCAUUUUGGGGACUGGCGCUCCAUAAAAUGCAAUUUAUUGAAAUGAAAGAUUUAAUGAUCAAAAUUAAGAGUUGUAUCCAAAAUCUCGAGGUUGUUUUCUAGCAUUUAUUUUGUAUGUUUGCAAGUCAUGUGUUUCCCCUCCUAGAAAUGUGUACAGAUUUGGUAAAGCCUGGCCUAAGAGUUGGUGACUGAAGGGGAAGGUUUGCCCAUACUUCAUUUAGACAAGGACACAGACUGGGGUGUGGUGUCAGUCUGUCUGGCAGGUCCAGGUUGGCAGAAGGACAGUGUCAUACCUGUCCCCCUGCCUGUAGAUGAAGUGCUCUCUCUACCACACACCAGCAGAACUAAACUCACUGUGAUCUACAGUCAUUAAGUAAACAUUCAAAGGCCUUUGCAAAGACAUGUUGAUGUCAUGAAGUUGCAGAUUUGAGUUGUUGUUGUUUCUGUCAUAUCUGGCGCUGGGACAACAGUGCUGUGGUUAUUCCCCUGACUGGGACAACAGUGCUGUGGUUAUUCCCCUGGCUGGGACAACAGUGCUGUGGUUAUUCCCCUGGCUGGGACAACAGUGCUGUGGUUAUUCCCCUGGCUGGGACAACAGUGCUGUGGUUAUUC